AAGACUAUACUUUCAGGGAUCAUUUGUAUAGUUUGUUACUAGAGAAGUUUCUCUGAACGUGUAGAGCACUUGAAACCACGAGGAGAAGGCAUAGCCAUUCUCUCCUGAGCAUGAAGCUGGCUUUUGGUGUUGCUUUUGCAACUGCUAAUGGCCAUUGAUGAUAGUUCUUCUCUUCCUUUGGGAGAGUAAGAGAGAGAGGACACAGUCUAAAUGGU